rnacentral:rRNA from 1 species
CCUACGGGCGGCAGCAGUGAGGAAUCUUUGUCAAUGGACGAGAGUCUGAACCAGCCAAGUAGCGUGAAGGAUGACUGCCCUAUGGGUUGUAAACUUCUUUUAUAUGGGAAUAAAAUGUUCCACGUGUGGGAUUUUGUAUGUACCAUAUGAAUAAGGAUCGGCUAACUCCGUGCCAGCAGCCGCGGUAAUACGGAGGAUCCGAGCGUUAUCCGGAUUUAUUGGGUUUAAAGGGAGCGUAGGUGGAUUGGUAAGUCAGUUGUGAAAGUCUGCGGCUCAACCGGAAAAUUGCAGUUGAAACUGGCAGUCUUGAGUACAGUAGAGGUAGGCGGAAUUCGCGGUGUAGCGGUGAAAUGCUUAGAUAUCACGAAGAACUCCGAUUGCGAAGGCAGUUCACUGGACUGCAACUGACACUGAGGCUCGAAAGUGUGGGUAUCAAACAGGAUUAGAUACCCCUGUAGUC